CCCACGAACACAGUUCUCAGAAUCAUCGACUGAAGUUUGACUUUCACCGGCCGUUCGUGUGGUUGCAGCCGACUGCAAGUUCCAUACUAUAGCUAUCUGGGGUCGGCCACUUUCGCAUUUAUUGUUAUUUCCACGAAAUCUCGCUGUAAUUCUCCAAAUAACCUAACAGGCUUGUUCGUAUAGUCUGUAAAUAGGGGAUUUCGUUACACAGCUCCCCCU